rnacentral:rRNA from 1 species
GAUGAACGCUGACAGAAUGCUUAACACAUCAGCAAUUGAUUGGUGGCGGACGGGUGAGUAACGCGUAAAGAACUUGACUCACAGCUAGGGACAACAUUUGGAAACGAAUGUUAAUACCUAAUACUGUGAGAGAGCUUUGCGUCCCAUGAGCUAGGUGGAAAGGUAACGGCUUACCAAAGCGAUGAUGGGUAGCCGGCCUGGGAGGGUGAUAGGGAACCAGGGAAAAGAGUCACGGCCCUUAAUCCAACGAGAGGUAGAAGUGGGGAAGAUUGGACAAUGGACCACAGUCUGAUCCAGAAAUUCUGUGUGAACGAUGAAUUUCUCGUAAUGUAAAGUGCUUUCAGUUUGGAAGCGGUACCAACAGAAGAAGUGACGGCUAAAUACGUGCCAGCAGCGGCGGUAAUUC